rnacentral:rRNA from 1 species
GAUGAACGCUAGCUACAGGCUUAACACAUGCAAGUCGAGGGGCAUCAGGAAGAAAGCUUGCUUUCUUUGCUGGCGACCGGCGCACGGGUGAGUAACACGUAUCCAACCUGCCCUUUACUCGGGGAUAGCCUUUCGAAAGAAAGAUUAAUACCCGAUAGCAUAAUGAUUCCGCAUGGUUUCAUUAUUAAAGGAUUCCGGUAAAGGAUGGGGAUGCGUUCCAUUAGGUUGUUGGUGAGGUAACGGCUCACCAAGCCUUCGAUGGAUAGGGGUUCUGAGAGGAAGGUCCCCCACAUUGGAACUGAGACACGGUCCAAACUCCUACGGGAGGCAGCAGUGAGGAAUAUUGGUCAAUGGGCGCUAGCCUGAACCAGCCAAGUAGCGUGAAGGAUGAAGGCUCUAUGGGUCGUAAACUUCUUUUAUAUAAGAAUAAAGUGCAGUAUGUAUACUGUUUUGUAUGUAUUAUAUGAAUAAGGAUCGGCUAACUCCGUGCCAGCAGCCGCGGUAAUACGGAGGAUCCGAGCGUUAUCCGGAUUUAUUGGGUUUAAAGGGAGCGUAGGUGGACUGGUAAGUCAGUUGUGAAAGUUUGCGGCUCAACCGUAAAAUUGCAGUUGAUACUGUCAGUCUUGAGUACAGUAGAGGUGGGCGGAAUUCGUGAUGUAGCGGUGAAAUGCUUAGAUAUCACGAAGAACUCCGAUUGCGAAGGCAGCUCACUGGACUGCAACUGACACUGAUGCUCGAAAGUGUGGGUAUCAAACAGG